rnacentral:lncRNA from 1 species
UUAGCCGAAACUAAUUAUCAGACAGCUGAUAAUACCUACAACUGUAGCAUUUUGAGACUCAAGGUUUUCUAAAGUCAGAUUUUGUGAUAUUGACUGUUGUUUUUUCCUAGCAGCUCUUAAUUGUUAAUUUGGUUUAUGUAGCAUUUAGAAUAUUGUAAAUGAAAAUAUAUUUGAUUGAACUGGUGAAUAAGAAUCACUUUUCAUUUCAUUUCAAGGACAUGGGCUUUCUCAACCCACCGGACUUAUUGUGCUGCGCUCCCUCGGUCUCAUUUCUUUGUUGGGGACUUUUCUUCUGUCGGUGGGACUGCCACGAUAUUGGAAACAUAAACUGUCAACAGAGACAACAUAUGCAAUUCAACUUUAUUUUUUACAAUUAUUAUAGAUGUUUUAAGGCUGUACACUUUUUUCACACAGGCAUGAACAUUUUCACACUUUUCCCUCUUGUUUAAACACUCUCAAAGUUCAAACCUUUGUAGAAAAAUAAGUCCAGUGUUAUAGAGUUAAACCAAAGAUCAAACCCUGUUUUCAGGUCCAGAACAUGGGAACAGAGCAGCUGCCAGAGAAUUCAACAUUAAUGAAUCAAUGGUACGGAAGUAGAGGAAGCAAGAAGAAUGAGUUGAGUACAGUUUUACUUAUCUGACUGUUUUGUUUCACUUAAUGCACCUUAUAAUCCGGUGUGCCUUAUGGUCUGAAAAAUACUGUGGCUUCGACCUUCCUUUAGCCUUUCCAGAAGUCCAACUUUUUUGUGCCAUGGUCAGCAUCUUCCUCUGUCUUUUGGGUGCAAAAGGUUUCAUCGACAUAGUUUUUGUUGGAAAUUGCACAAAAAAUAUUUGCGAAACAGCAAGGCCGCCAGAGGUGAAACGCGUUAUAGCGAGGGACCACUUUACAUACAACUAAACAUUAAAUCACAUCUGCUCUCAGUUAUGGUUUCCGUUAAUCCUGCUGAUCAGACUGCUCUAAUGUGAAAACCAGAAAAUGGGGAGUUUUAUAGAACAUGUUUUAAUGUUCGUUCCUUUAAAGAUUUUCGGAGAGUGUCUUCUGAGAGGAUACAAGUGCUCGUAAGCAUUUUAGAAUCAGGACUACAAAUGCACAGAUAAAAAUGACAACAUAAAUCGCUCAACAUACGGUGCAGCAGCAGAUGUUGGUUUGAUAUAUUUUAAGGUCUGUUUUCUAUUUAUGAAAUCAGAAUUGUAAUACUGCAUAUCAAUAAAUAGAUUCACAAGUAUGAUCAACAAUGUUACACCAUCUAAGCUACCAAAGUCUUUACUAAUUAGGUAAGAUGGCCAUUUUAUAAAUAAUGGCAUAUAUAAAAUGGAAGACAGCAUUUGAACCUUUGCUUUUUCACAUGUUGCUUGGAUGCUCUCUAGUGUGAGACAGUUUGUCUAUCUAAAUUGUUAAUAAAUUAGAUGGAAAGCUGAAUUAUUUUUUAUAUUUGUGUAUAAAUCUAAAAAAACAAAAUAAAACAUAUGAAUGCUAGAUAAAGCCAAUGCAAUCUAAAAUGCUAGUUAUUACAUUAUGAGCACACAAAAAACAAACAAACAAUAAUUUAAAAUAAUGAAUACGUUAUGACCAGACAUCAUGAAGUGUAAUUUGUAGAAACAAUAAACUAGUAAAUUAAAAAUUAAGGCACAACUUUUAAUUUGAGGGUGAAAGCUAUAAUUCACUAGGGCAGUUCCCUAGUGGAGGUUUUCAGUAUGUCACUGACUCGUCUUUAGAACUUAAAGAAGAGAAAGACAAUUAUUUUUAAAUUUUGAACCAGCAUGCAGACCUUAACUGUGUGGAAAACAUUUUUCUACAAAUGCUACAGAAAAGUUAUAUAAACUAAUGUGAGGUUUUGUAGAUGUCUGAUUAUUUUCUUUUGUUACACUUUAUUUAGGAAACUUUUUGUAAGAGCAGCAGCCUAAUCAGAGAAGCCCAGACCUCCUCCUACCUAGCCACCUUCUCUAGCUUGACCAUGGGAACACCAAGGCAUUCUCAGACCAGUGAAAGAUACAGUCUCUCCUGGUUCUGCCCCAGGGCCUCCUCUGGGUGGGGCAUGUCAGGACACCUCCAGAAGGAGUCAUCCUUGUCAGAUGCCUCAUCCACUUGAACUUGCUCCUUUCAAUAUGAAGGAGUAGUGGCUCUACUCUUAGCCACUCCUGGAUGUUUUAAGUCCUUAUCCUAACUCUAAGGAAGAGGCCAACCACCCUUCCAUCAAAGCUUGUGUAUCUAUAAUGUGUUUUUUUGGUCACUACCCAGAACUCAUCACCAAAGGUGGCGUGUAGAGUGAGCAGCAAAUCGAGAGCUUCACUUUUACACUCAGCUCUCUUUUCACUACAAAGCUGCAGUCACAGCACCAAUUUGUCUCAAUCUACUAGUCUCCCGCUCUCCUCUUCCCUCACUCAUGAACCAAAAGAUACUUAAACUCAUUGGAUGUCUGAUUAUAAUUCCCGGCGCUUCACACUUGGCUGCUAACCACUCCAGCACGAACUGGAGACGACCACAUGAUGAAGCCAACAGAACCACAUUACAGUGAUCCCUCAUUUAUCGCAGGAGUUUUAAAAAUAACACGCGAUAGGUAAAAUCCGCAUAGCCAAGUAGCCAGCUUUAUUUUUUAAUUGUUAUUAUUUUAAUUAUUAUUUUAUUUUAAGGCUGUAAGCUGUAAAACCCCUCACUACACAGUUCAUACACUUUUCUCAGACAGACAACUGAACUUUUUCUCUCUUGUUUAAACACACUCACAUUUCAGACCUUCAUAGAAAAAUAAGUCCAGUAUUACUGUCAGGAUUCCUGGGUCAUUGACCCAGCGUUUUCAGUUCAUGUUCUAUUUUCACCACUCCUGCCAUUUCCUGUUUCAUUAUGUUCAGCUGUGUAUUCGCCUGUGUCCAAUUAUCGUCAUCAUCCAGUCUGUGUAUUUAAGUUCCUCAGUUUUCCCACUUCUCUGUCGUGUCAUUGAUGUUCUCACGAGGUUGUGUUGUCGUUUCUGCCCGCGUUCAGUCAGCCAGCCAGCCAGCCAGUCAUUCAGCCUUUCAGUCAGUCCUUCAGUCAUUCAGCCAGUCGUCUAGCCAGCCAGCCAUUUCCUACCUCUGUCUGUUUGUUCACUCCAUCGGCAAUAAACACCAACCUUCACAUACCUACCUGUGAGUCCAGCGUUUGGGUCUUCCUUCUCUCAUCCGCGACACAAAUCCUGACAAUUACAGAAUGAAACCAAAGACAAAAUCCUGCUUUCAGGUCCAGAACAUGGAAAUAGAGCAGCUGCGAGAGAAUUCAACAUUAAUGAAUCAAUGGUAUGGAAGUAGAGGAAGCAAGAAGAACGAGCUGAGUGAGAUUUGACUUAUCUGACUGUUUUGUUUCGCUUAAUGUGCCUUAUAAUCCGGUGUGCCAGAAGUCCAACUUUCUGUGCGAUGGUUAGCAUCUUCCUCUGCCUUUUGGGGCUACCACAGGUGCCUUUGUAUGUGCAAAACAUUUCGUCGACAUUAUUUUUGUUGGGGAGAAAACUUACAAACAUACAGUUCAGCACUUCAGAGUGACACUUCUAGCGAUUGAAGAAUUAUAUAAAUGUCACGCAUUCUGUUCUGUACAGGAGACACGGCACAGAGGAGAUUGAUUGACCAUGGUCUACAGCCAAUCAGGACGCAGAACACAAUGCGCUGUAAAAAUUAAAUUAAAAAAUAGGGCAUGCAAAAUUGCACACAAAAAAAUCCACGAAACAGCGAAGCCGCAAAAGGUGAGCCAUGUUUUAGCGAGGGACCACUGUAUCUGCAAAAAUCAAAUACGAGAUUCUGAGACCAACCAAGUUGAAGUCUUCUGCCAUUUAUCUAGGCCUUGUAAUUCUGUCCUUAAAAAUUAUACACAGAAUCACUGACAAGUUCUAGUCCUGGAGGAAUCCACCACCCACUGGGAAUGAGUUCAACUUGUUGUUGACAAUGUGGUCCAAGCUUUUGCAAUGGUUUUAUAAGGACCGAAUGUCUCGUCCCAUAACGGGCCAGAAAACCCAGACUGAAGCACCUCCUACAGAAAACUACAAGCGACACAGUCGAAUGCCUUCUCCAAGUUCACAAAGCAUAUGUAGACUAGUUGGGCUAACCUUCAUGCACACUCACAUAUCCGAAGGUAAAGAGCUGGUCCAAUGUUCUGUGACUGGGAUGAAAACUGCAUUGUUCCUCCUGUAUCUGAGAUUCAACUAACGGACUAAUUCUCUUUUCCAGCACCCUGGCCUGCUCUGCCAAUCCAGAGGUACCACCCGAUUUCCAUGGAACAUUGGAUGUUGUAGAGGUGUCUUGGUUGACACGCCUCUACAGAGCGUUCAGGAACACUGUGCGAGUCUAAUCCAGACCAAAGGCUCUGCCAUCAAGUAUUUGUGUACUGCCUGUGUGACCUCACCCCAGAGUGGAUGAGUCAUCUACCUUAUCCCCAGACUGUGCUCUAUGGGAGACGGAUCAUUGAACUGUCAGUGACUUUGUAACACAGUAUAAGCAGAACAGUUAAGAGAACAGUUAAAAGUCAUGUAACCGUAAACAGUAAAACAAGAACAUGUCCCAACAGCAGCAGAUGUCCCAAGGCAUGAUGGGAAAUAUCUACCUGCUCCCCCAACACGCCACAAUAUGAUUGCCUGCUUGCAGGGCACCAGGAGAGAUGAGUCCUCCAUCACAGAUGGUGUGGUAAGUGAAAAUGGUCACCUGCAGGUUACAGCUCAUUGGAUCUCCAACUCACAUUCAGUGCCACUGUACUUAAGGGAAGUUAAAGACUUUCUUCUGUGCUUACAUUUGGAUCGCCUAAAUCCAUGACAGUCGUUCCGGCAGUAAUACCAGGACUGGAAACAAUCCAUCCUUAAAAUAUUACAACAUGCCAGCUUCUGUGUUUGAAUGCAAAACAAAUGUCUUUUUUAAACUAGAGACUGCACUUGUGACAGAACAAUAAGUAUAUUUUAUUUUGAUUAUAUAAGUAAUGUAACUUGCAAAACAAAGUUGUGGAAAGCCUAAACUUAGUUUCGGAAUAAUUAGAUAUGAGACUUUGUUUCACUGUAAGAUUGUAACAAUAUAAUUGUUUGUUGUUCAGCAGAACAGUGUCCAGUAUGUUGGCUGAUAUACUUUUUUGCAUUUGGAAAUAAAAGUUGGACUGAUUUUAACACAAUUACAAGAAGUGUUGUUAAUUUUUUUUUUUUAAAUCAUACCACAAAUUGUUUUUAAUGUAGUAGAACUUUGAGUGUUUGUCAGUGGGUAAACAAUUAGUAUUGACCAGUCAGAAAUAUCAAGUUAUUCUUAGUAUUGCAUACUUGCAAAGAAAAAGUUGCCCUAACUGUCAUCUCAAGUAAGCGUUACUCAAUUUUGUUUGAGGCAAUGAGUUUGCAUAGUUUGUUCGUUUGUUUUUUUAAGUUCUGGGAACU